rnacentral:lncRNA from 11 species
GUCCAGAUUAUGACACCUAUACUGCAUGCGGACACAAUAAUGGCAAAACUGGAAUCGUGGCAUUUAAAGUCUGGUGAGGUCCUUGGGAGAUACCAGCAGACCUUGAGCAGAGAGGAACUGAGGAUUAAAUCCGUCUAAUCUUUUGGAGACACCGUUUAGGGUAAGUAUAGAUCAGGGCAGUGGAUUAGAGCUCUAUGGCAGAAAUCUUAAUCCCUCACUAAUGG